CCGCCGGCGACCGGCGCACGGGUGAGUAACGCGUAUGCAACCUGCCCGUUUCAGCGGGAUAACCCGGAGAAAUCCGGCCUAAUACCGCAUGUGGCCGAGGGGAGGCAUCUUCUUUCGGCCAAAGGAGGCGACUCCGGAGACGGAUGGGCAUGCGUGACAUUAGCUUGUUGGCGGGGUAACGGCCCACCAAGGCGACGAUGCGUAGGGGUUCUGAGAGGAAGGUCCCCCACACUGGUACUGAGACACGGACCAGACUCCUACGGGAGGCAGCAG
rnacentral:rRNA from 1 species